rnacentral:miRNA from 1 species
UUUUUUUCUGUGUUGGUGUAAUGUACUCAGAGUAACAUCACAAGCAUCAUAUUCACCUGAGUACAUUACACCAACACAGAAAAAAAAUCAUGCAUGA